AGAGAAACUGUGUCUCAAUCAGUCAACAAACAAACAAAAGAAGUCAAGGAAAAGAGUUUUAAUUUUAAGUUCACUUGUGUUCAUCAGAAUAAUAUUUUGGAGUUAGUGUUUUUGUAAGGAAGCUUUAAAGUUUUCAUUUCCUUGUUUUAUGCCACUAACACUAAAAUAAAUAGAAAAUGUUAAUUAAAAAAAUUAGAGGGAAGACAAUCUGUUUCUAGGAAGAAAAAUCUAGAUGUUCAUCUGCAAGAACGUGCAUUCUCUGGACAUAGAUGGAGCACUCUCUUUAGAUGCUGAGGGAGUUAUGUAAAUGAUCAUGUGAGCGGGGGUUAUGUAUGUAAGGGCCUGCCUUGUAGUUGUGGGGCCCAGGGCUCAAUCUCCAGCACCAUUACAAAUAAAGGCUGAAUAUGAAAUCCAUUUUCAGACAAGCAGAACUUUAUACUGCAUGUGCUAGUCAUCUGUCUGAUAGUGUGACAAAAUUCUGACUUAACCUCAAAGAUUUACUUAGGCUAAUAGUUCAAAGCUUGUAUGUAGUCCAUGCCACUUACCUCUGUCCCUUUAGGCUGAUGGCAAGACAAAGUAUCAUGGUAGAGUAUGUGACAGCAGAGCUGUUCACCACAUGGAAGAUGAGAUGCAUACAGGGAAGAGGAUCCAGGGCCCUACCCCUCUUCAAGAAUUCCAGUGACCUAACUUCUACUAGGCCCCACUUCCUAAAGUUUCUACCACACCCCCACAGCACCAUCAGCUGAAGACCAAGUCUCCAAUACAUGACCCUUUAUGGGACAUUUAAGAUCCAAACCAUAACACUAUUCCCAAAAUGUUGGUGAAAAAAAUUACUAAGGAUAUGGGGGGGGGUCCAAUUUAAUGAGCACAGUGCAAGAAUCAGGAUUGAGCAAAGAAAGGGAAAAGAGCUUAUAGUAAUAAUUAAGAUAUGAACCAUCUUAAAAUAAUGGAAGGUGAACAUACCAAAACCAUAUAUGACAUACAUGCUAACAAAACACAUUUUAAUUUUCUGGCAAUGGACAUACAACCAUAUCCUAACUUUGAGUGUGUGGAGGGAAGUGUUGACAAUCUUUAUUCUCUUCUACAUUCUUUUCCAGCCUUACCCAACAGACCAUCAAGCCUUUUGUAUGUAUAAUUGUUCGUGUACUUGUAUGCCCAUACAUGCAUGCACAGACCAGAGAUCUUCACUGGCUAUAAUUCCUCUGCCACCUUAUUUUUGAGAUAGAAUCUCAGUGAACCUGAAGCUUGAUGAUUGGCAGAGCUGAUUGCUUCCCAGUUCUGGGAAGUAGCUCUUACCACUCCACUGCCAUGCCUGGCUUCCUAUGUGGAUGCUGGGGAUCCACACCCAUCCUCAUGCUUGUGUCGGAGGUGUCCAUGGAGCCAUCUCCCCAGUCCCAGAAUAAGAUGUGAGGAUGCUUUCAUUGUACCCAUAUGCUUACAUAUAAAUUUGUCAUCAUUUGAUAAAAUACUUACAAAUCAGGCAGAGAGGAAUCUCUACCCACAAUGUUCAGCACACCUUGUCCCAACCUGACUCUAAAAAUUAAACCUUUACCAAAGUCUUGUUCUUUCUCUCUGCCCCAAUCUUUUCAUUUCUACCAUCAACCAAGUAGCUUUUUCUACUGCUCUCCUCCCUGUGAAUGUACUGUAAACUUUUUAAAGAUUGUUCAUGUGCCCAUCUGUAGCAUAUUGCAUAACACACAGCACACUGCUGAGUGAAUGAAUAGUUUUAUGGGUUAGAUAGUUUUCAAAUAACUAAUUUAUUUUCAAACCAUAGUGUUCGAAUUUAAAUGGUUUAAAAUCACUAAUGCUUUUAGGAUGUUCCCAUUAUGCAAACAACCCAAAUUAAAAACAUACAACUCAUAUUUUUAAGUAAUAUAAGCAAAAUAAAAAUUAUGUUUAAUAAUGCCUUAUAUUGUUUUAGUAUAUACUACUAUAGACACAUAAGAAUAGUUAAUUACUUCCAUUUUCUGCUUCCCUAAAUCUGAAAACUAUAAAAAUAUUGUUACUUAUUUUUGAAAAUUCAAACUCUGCCAUAUAUUCCUUCAUCAAUUUUAUGUUGAAAAGAGAGGGAGUUGAUUUUGAAGCAUUGGAAAUUAAGUGUUGGAAAAAAUAGGUUUAGGGUCAAAAGCUGAUGUAUUUGCAAAUAAAAACACAAAUUGUACAAGUGAUUUAAAUUCUUUUAAAAGCUUCACAGUUCUCUAUAUGUACAUUUGGCGGAAGGAUGAAUUGCCAGCCAGUAUACAUCAGUGAUCAGUUGCUUACAUCUCAAAGGUCAAAUACUUGGUGGGAAGCCCAGAAGGAAACACUUUAGAUAAAGACAUACAAUAUAUAUAAUAUAUAAAAUGAGCCUUAGAACUCUUAUCUCUUUGAAAAGCAAGGUCCAUGUUUUAGUUACUACUUGGCCCUGAUAUAGAAAAGUCGGAUGUAUUCAUGCAAAGUAGACAAAAUAGCUUUAUGGUUUUCACAGAAAAUCUGAACUGCCUAUGCAAUACAAAGUAACUUCAGUUUUCACUUAAGAAUCAUUCAUAGUUUACUUUCAAAAUACUGCUUAAAUUCAAAUAGUUCAAAUUUAAUGUGGUUCUCCAGAUCCUAGACGUUCCCAUCACUGACAAGCAAAUGAAAGCAUAAACUCCCAGGUCCAGAUGACUGUUUUUAGGACUGAACAUCUGUUAGCUAGUAGCUAGUUCUGAUUCACGUUCUAGCACUGUUCAUCCUUAAAUGGAUGCUGCAUUCGUGUUCUGCCAUCAAAAUGCUCAUCAGGCAGGGUGUGAUGGCACACACCUUUAAUCCCAGCACUAGAGAGGCAGAAGCAGGCAGAUCUCUAUUUGAGGCCAGUCUGGUCUACACAGCAAGCUCCAGGACAACCAGGACUACAUAGAGACCCUGUCUCAAAAAAACAAACAAAAAGGUCUUCAAACUUUAUAGCAUAUGAACCUAGCUUAUAAGAGACCUCAGUCCUUCUGAUGUUCUUCUGUCCUUCUGACAGUUUCUUUGGUGGAAUUUAAGGUAAAUACGAGGAAUGAAUCCCAAGUCACAGAGCACUGCCAAAUAAGGUACCACUCAAUUGUGGCAAUGUAGUAAGUUAAAACCUUUUUAAAAUGUUUACUUAAAAAUUACCCACAAAAUCUUUCUAAUCUGUGUCACUGCAUUCAAAUACAUCUUUUAUACACACUACUAAUAACUUAGCUUUUCAUUUUAAAACAGUUAUUCAGGGGAGUAUUUUUGAAAGAAAGAGACAGACAGACAGACAGACACAGGUAUGUAGAUGUAUGUGUGGUAUAUUUUACCUGUGUGUAUAUAUGUGUACCGACCGUAUAUGUGACUGGUACCACUAGAUCAGCAGAAGACAUUGGAUCCCCUAGAACUGGAGUUACAGAUAUUUGUGAGCCACUGUGUUGGUGCUAGAACCUGAACCUAGACCCUCUGCAAGAGCAGCAAAUGCUGUUAACCACGGAGCCAUCUCUUCAGCCCUGAAAAAGACUCAUUUUUAAAGGUUAUCCAAUAAUGUAAGGAUUUGGAGUAAAACAACAAUAAAAUCACUUUAAAAUUCUAUACAUAAAAAUUUCUCCUGUACAUGAUCCCUUCGCAAGAGGAAGCCAUACUAUAUUUCUGCCUGUUGAGAUAGAUGUGACGUCGUUCACAAACAUCUGGGCACCUCAGCAAAGCAGAGUUUGGUUUUCUUAAGUCCUUAAAGGAACCCUUCAAAAACAUUUGUCUUAGAUUUUAAAAACAAUAAAGGAGAUAUUAAAGUUUUCCUUCAGAGUAGCUCAGACACCUCACUACAGAUUUUUUAAAACAACAUAUAUUUAAAGAUAUAUGCUAUAUAAAAACACACACAUUUCCAAAUUUAACCAUUACCUAUAUAUUUAGCAUUAUAUCCAGUUUAUAUAAUUAUAGGCUUUCAGUUCAAAUUCUGUAAGUUUUAGUGGGCAAAUCUUCACGUAAUUCUAGUUGAGAAUACCAUCCAAUCAGUAAAAGUCUCACUUAGGAAAAAGACCUACUGUAUUGGUUUAACAUAGAACUCUAAUUUUUCUCUACAUUGAAAUUUUCUGAGCAAAAUUAAUUUUACAAAGUCCAUGGUUUUAAAAUAUUGGCAUACUGAGACUGGGUUACAGACACACAUUUAUAGACUAAGACCCUUUAGUAUGCUACAUGUAAGGAUCAAAGCCUCAUUGCCAUUUUCCGAUUUUUAAACUAGUAUGACAUUAAAACUAAAUGAUUUUCCUCCCCUCAGCCUUUCCUGGCUUUAUCCCUUCCUUGUCAGUAAUUGUUAAGUACAGAGAUCAAGAGUUUUACUUGACUGAUUCUUAAUUUGUCUCUCCAGAGCCCACAGUGUUGAGCAUGUGGUGUGAGUCCAACCAACUCAAUGAAUAUUCUUGAAUGAGCAGCAACACACUGAGAGUGCAUGAAGAGUUCCAAAGAGUCUGAAGAUAACAACAAUAGUUGCUUUGAUGAAACUCCUAAACAACAAAAUUAAAACAUCAAGCCUCCUUCUCAGAUACACUCUGCCUUUGUAGAUAAGAGAUGGAAGAAACAUGACCCAGAACACAUGGCCAAUUCAUAGCUACGCUUAAGGCUGCAAAUGCUCCAAGGAAAGAUUAACUCCAUCCUCAAUCGGAGGCGAUGCCAUGAUCACAGAGUCCAGCUGUGCAACUCCAAGGACUGAGCAUGCUGAAGGAAAGGAAGACACCAAAAGGCCAAGUGAUUUAUCUUCUCCACUGCAUGGGACAUGGUGCAUUCCAAAACAUCUGGAAACUCCUGCAGGAAACACAACAUACAAUGGACAUAAACUUAGCACUGUUGACUGUACUGUCCUAAGCACUUCGGAAGCAAAGAGCUCAUGGGACAAGAUUCUUCAUGAGGGCUAAUAGGUUUUGCAAGCCUAGUAUACACAGAAAGGUUAAAUGUAUGUGUAUAGGUCUCUAUUCUCUGCAGUAAAAAGUUCUUAUUUUGACCAGUUAUUCAGAAGUAUUAAUGGCCAAAAAUAUAAAUAAUAAACAAGUAGAAGAGCAGAGAGUUAUAAGAAAGUCAGAAUUGCUGGCACAGAGGUAGGUUUACUUUAAAAUUAAUCAAUGAAAAUUAACUAUCUUGAAUAAAGACAUGCUAAAAUCUCUUUA